UACGAAGGGUGCAAGCGUUACUCGGAAUUACUGGGCGUAAAGCGUGCGUAGGUGGUGAGUUAAGUCUGUCGUGAAAGCCCCGGGCUCAACCUGGGAAUGGCGAUGGAUACUGGCUCGCUAGAGUGCGGUAGAGGAGAGUGGAAUUCCCGGUGUAGCAGUGAAAUGCGUAGAGAUCGGGAGGAACAUCAGCUGCGAAGGCGGCUCUCUGGACCAGCACUGACACUGAGGCACGAAAGCGUGGGGAGCAAACAGG
rnacentral:rRNA from 1 species